AACCAGGACGCCGCCUCUCAGAGCCCAGGUGGAGCUGGGACCCUGCCCCAUGGCUCCCAGGCCCUUUGUCAGGUCUGGGAUGUGCUCACAUCAAAACAGGAAGUGCGUGAAACUGCACCGGCCCCGGCCUGGGUCAGAUGUGGAGGAUCAGCUGGCCUCCAAGGGGAGAUUAACCUCGGGUCUGUUUUUUGUUUGUUUGUUUGUUUGUUUUGUUCUUGAGACAGGUCUGGCUGUGUUGUCCAGGCCAGCCUUGUACUCACAGCAUUCCUCCUGCCUCAGCCUCCCGAGUGCAGGGAUUACAAGACUAUGCCAUCGUGCCCUGAGUCCUCAGGUCCAUUUGACAAAGAAAGUGGGGUGUGGGACGGAGGAGGGACUGCCCCAAGAGUCAGAUCUGACUUGGUGACUUGUGGAGGGGCAGAGAUGGCCACUCAUCCUCAGAGCUCAGCUUCCCCAUGGGCAAAAUUCAGCCAUGGAGUGUGGCUGGCCACGGAGGCACGGCGGGGUGGAGGCCGCCCCCGGAUCCCCGCUGCCCCGUCGGUGUGCAGCCUGCACACCACAACCAACGCUCGGCCCCCUCUUCCUGUUCUUUCUUCUCAGAAGUGGGUCACUGAUACCGAUCGGACCGCCAGUCACCCCCGGGGAGCAACCGCUACUCAGGAAACGCUCGAGCAGCGCAGGCUGGGACGAGCCCCCAGAGCCCUGGAGAGCGGGACUCGCCCGGGGACAGGAGGGAAGACUGACUCAGGAUUUAGGGGCCCAGCGAGGACCAGCCAGGGAAGGGAGCUGCUGGGCGUGCAGGGGGCCAGGAACCAAUCCCCCAGGCAGUGAGAGGCAACACGACCUCAAGGAGUCGGAGAGGCUCCAUCCUGCCUGAGCUUGGAGGUGAGAGGGAUGGGACUCCUGCUUCCGGGCUGUUUGAGAAAUGGGGAAACAGUCUCGUGCUGGACGAGGGGCCAUGUGUGAUGGUGCACACCUGUGAUCCCAGCGCUCAGGAGGCUGAGGCAGGAGGAUCACUGCAAGUUCAAGGCCAGCCUGAACUACACAGAGAGACCCUGUCUCAGAAACAAAGCAAGACUGACAGAGGGAAUCACCCAGAAUCAUGAGGCUGGUUAGUGGCCAACCUGGGACUCAACCCCGUCCUGUCUGAGUUUCAAGCACUUGGGCUUCUAUGUUUUAAAUUAGUUAUUAAUCAAUGUUUAAUAUGUGCAGGUGUUUAUAGUUGGAGUGUGACAUUUCGGCACACAUAGACAUCACAGAACGAUCAGAGCAAGAGAGCUGAUUAUCCACCUUCAAA